UCUCAUGCUGCAAGGAUGGUGUCAUGAUUAGCAAGCGUGGUCGACUCAGGUGCUGGAACCCGGAAGGAGGCUCGGCAGGCAGUGAGAUUGUCCAAGGAGUGGUUGGAGGGUAUUGUUGGCAGCAACCGCGUGAUCCGAGACUGGGGUUGGAGAACGUCCGAGCGAGACGGCGAGAGGUGACCCGUGAUCAGGUAUG